AGCGAACGCUGGCGGCAGGCCUAACACAUGCAAGUCGAACGAACCUUUCGGGGUUAGUGGCGGACGGGUGAGUAACACGUGGGAACGUGCCUUUAGGUUCGGAAUAACUCAGGGAAACUUGUGCUAAUACCGAAUGUGCCCUUCGGGGGAAAGAUUUAUCGCCUUUAGAGCGGCCCGCGUCUGAUUAGCUAGUUGGUUGAGGUAAUGGCUCACCAAGGCGACGAUCAGUAGCUGGUCUGAGAGGAUGAUCAGCCACAUUGGGACUGAGACACGGCCCAAACUCCUACGGGAGGCAGCAGUGGGGAAUCUUGCGCAAUGGGCGAAAGACUGACGCAGCCAUGCCGCGUGAAUGAUGAAGGUCUUAGGAUUGUAAAAUUCUUUCACCGGGGACGAUAAUGACGGUACCCAGAGAAGAAGCCCCGGCUAACUUCGUG
rnacentral:rRNA from 1 species